rnacentral:tRNA from 1 species
GGCGCUGUGGCGGAGUGGUUAUCGCGCAAGACUAGAAAUCUUGUUCCUUCGGGAGCGUGUGUUCAAAUCACACCGGCGUCG